rnacentral:sRNA from 1 species
AGUAUUGUUGACAUUUUUAGAUCUUUAAAAUCUUGGUUUAGCCGUUGGAGGUGGAUUCUGAGUUGGUAGUUGGUCUUAUACGGACAAGGGUAAACGACGUUUAUCUUCUAGCAUUCCUGAUACGUAUGUGUCAUGACUUUUUUUUCAAAAAACUGUUUAAUUUGGGUUACUCACGCGUAUAAGGAGGCUAACCGUCUCACAAACGGAUUAGCAAACUAUGUGUUUUCAUUACAGUUAGGUAUAUUCUUUUAUUUAAUUACUGUCCUAUGUAGUUAAACCGAUUAUGUUAGAGGAUGCUAAUGGGACGGAUUUUUUUCGUCCCAUUCUCAUGUAGUUCCUUUAUUUUCAUGGAAUAAAUUGAAGGAGACCUCUC